rnacentral:rRNA from 1 species
GACGAACGCUGGCGGCGUGCUUAACACAUGCAAGUCGUACGGUAAGGCCCUUUCGGGGGUACACGAGUGGCGAACGGGUGAGUAACACGUGAGUAACCUGCCCACAACUUUGGGAUAACGCUAGGAAACUGGUGCUAAUACUGGAUAUGUGCUCCUGCUGCAUGGUGGGGGUUGGAAAGCUCCGGCGGUUGUGGAUGGACUCGCGGCCUAUCAGCUUGUUGGUGGGGUAGUGGCCUACCAAGGCGGCGACGGGUAGCCGGCCUGAGAGGGUGACCGGCCACAUUGGGACUGAGAUACGGCCCAGACUCCUACGGGAGGCAGCAGUGGGGAAUAUUGCACAAUGGGCGCAAGCCUGAUGCAGCAACGCCGCGUGCGGGAUGACGGCCUUCGGGUUGUAAACCGCUUUCAGCAGGGACGAAGCUUUUUGUGGCGGUACCUGCAGAAGAAGCACCGGCUAACUACGU